rnacentral:rRNA from 1 species
ACUGAGACACUGUCCGGACUCCUACGGGAGGCUGCAGUAACGGAUCUUCCGCAAUGCGCGAAAGCGUGACGGAGCAAUGCCGCGUGCGGGAUGAAGCCCCUUGGGGUGUAAACCACAGUCAGGGCCCUAUGAAUUCUGACCAGGCCCAGAGGAAGGACCGGCUAACUUCGUGCCAGCAGCCGCGGUAAGACGAAGGGUCCAAGCGUUGCGCGGAAUCACUGGGCUUAAAGCGUGCGCAGGCGGGUAUGUCAGUGCCUUGUGAAAUCCCACCGCUCAACGGUGGAAUUGCCGGGCAUACUGCAUACCUUGAGGUCGGUAGAGGUGCCCGGAACUGUAGGUGUAGCGGUGCAAUGCGUAGAUAUCUACAGGAACGCCGAAGGUGAAGACAGGGCACUGGGCCGAUUCUGACGCUCAGGCACGAAAGCGUGGGGAGCAAACAGGAUUAGAUACCCUGGUAGUCCACGCCGUAAACAAUGUGUACUAGAUCCGGGAGGUUCUGACACCAUCCGGAUCGAAGCUAAAGUGUUAAGUACACCGCCUGGGGAGUACGGUCGCAAGGCUAAAACUCAAAGGAAUUGACGGGGGCUCACACAAGCGGUGGAGCAUGUUGCUUAAUUCGAUGCAACGCGAAGAACCUUAUCCUGGGUUUGACAUGCAUGGAUGCCCUUCCCGAAAGGGAAGUAAGCUGCUCAUUCGAGUGAAACAUGCACAGGUGCUGCAUGGCCGUCGUCAGCUCGUGCUGUGAAGUGUUGGGUUAAGUCCCUUAACGAGCGAAACCCCUGUCGCUAGUUGCCAGCGGGCCUACGGGUGCCGGGGACUCUAGCGAGACUGCCGGUGUCAAACCGGAGGAAGGCGGGGACGACGUCAAGUCAUCAUGGCCCUUAUGCCCAGGGCUGCUAACGUGCUACAAUGGUCGGUACAGAGCGAAGUAAUGCCGUAAGGCGGAGCAAAUCGCAAAAAGCCGGCCCCAGUUCGGAUCGUGGUCUGCAACUCGACCACGUGAAGUCGGAAUCGCUAGUAAUCGCGCAUCAGCCAUGGCGCGGUGAAUACGUUCCUGAGCNUUGUACACACCGCCCGUCAAGUCAUGGAAGCCGGGAGUGCCCGAAGUCGC